UGGAUGAUUGAUGCAAGAUGUGCGCAAGCCCCUGUUUGUGGUAUCAACUAUGUGUACCUGCCAUUUUUGUCCUGACUCCUCUACUUUUUUGGUGAGGAUGAUCAUCUGUGUCAAGAGGGUCACCACAUUCUCAGCCAAACUGUUGGAAUGAUCAAGAGGCACUGAGUGCACCACUGGAGUGAUAGGUGUGUUUCUGGUCGUCCACCCUGAAUUCUGAGCCAUUUUAUCUAACAGAUUCUACCCUUCUCUCCAAGUCUUGCUCAAGAAUGCCCCACCAGCUGAGGCAUCCACAAUAUUCUUCAUACUGUCAGAAAGUCCCAUGU
rnacentral:lncRNA from 1 species